AUUGAACGCUGGCGGCAGGCCUAACACAUGCAAGUCGAACGAGUGGCGGACGGGUGAGUAAUGUCUGGGAAACUGCCUGAUGGAGGGGGAUAACUACUGGAAACGGUAGCUAAUACCGCAUACCAUCCGAUGUCCCCAGAUGGGAUUAGCUUGUGGGGGGGGUAAGGGCUCAACAAGGCGACGCUCCCUAGCUGGUCUGAGAGGAUGACCAGCCACACUGGAACUGUGACACGGUCCAGACUCCUACGGGAGGCAGAAGUGGGGAAUAUUGCACAAUGGGCUGAAGCCUGAUGCAGCCAUGCCGCGUGUAUGAAGAAGGCCUUCGGGUUGUAAAGUACUUUCAGCGGGGAGGCGUUACCCGCAGAAGAAGCACCGGCUAACUCCGUGCCAGCAGCCGCGGUAAUUC
rnacentral:rRNA from 1 species